ACCUUACUGUUGCCUCGGCGGAUCAGCCCGCUCCCGGUAAAACGGGACGGCCCGCCAGAGGACCCCUAAACUCUGUUUCUAUAUGUAACUUCUGAGUAAAACCAUAAAUAAAUCAAAACUUUCAACAACGGAUCUCUUGGUUCUGGCAUCGAUGAAGAACGCAGCAAAAUGCGAUAAGUAAUGUGAAUUGCAGAAUUCAGUGAAUCAUCGAAUCUUUGAACGCACAUUGCGCCCGCCAGUAUUCUGGCGGGCAUGCCUGUUCGAGCGUCAUUUCAACCCUCAAGCCCUCGGGUUUGGUGUUGGGGAUCGGCGAGCCUUUCUGGCAAGCCGGCCCCGAAAUCUAGUGGCGGUCUCGCUGCAGCCUCCAUUGCGUAGUAGUAAAACCCUCGCAACUGGAACGCGGCGCGGCCAAGCCGUUAAACCCCCAACUUCUGAAUGUUGACCUCGGAUCAGGUAGGAAUACCCGCUGAACUUAAGCAUAUCAAUA
rnacentral:rRNA from 1 species